UGGGGAAUAUUGCACAAUGGGCGAAAGCCUGAUGCAGCAACGCCGCGUGAGUGAUGAAGGCCUUCGGGUUGUAAAGCUCUGUCUUUUGGGACGAUAAUGACGGUACCAAAGGAGGAAGCCACGGCUAACUACGUGCCAGCAGCCGCGGUAAUACGUAGGUGGCAAGCGUUGUCCGGAUUUACUGGGCGUAAAGGAUGCGUAGGCGGAUUUUUAAGUGAGAUGUGAAAUACCCGGGCUUAACUUGGGUGCUGCAUUUCAAAACUGGGAAUCUAGAGUGCGGGAGAGGAGAAAUGGAAUUCCUAGUGUAGCGGUGAAAUGCGUAGAGAUUAGGAAGAACACCAGUGGCGAAGGCGAUUCUCUGGACCGUAACUGACGCUGAGGCAUGAAAGCGUGGGUAGCAAACAGGAUUAGAUACCCUGGUAGUCCACGCCGUAAACGAUGAGUACUAGGUGUAGGAGGUAUCGACCCCUUCUGUGCCGCAGUUAACACAAUCAAGUACUCCGCCUGGGAAGUACGAUCGCAA
rnacentral:rRNA from 1 species